CAACGCUAUGAGUGCUGCGGAGAUGACUGAUAAGCUUGGUCUGCACGGCCUCCGCCACAGACAGUGGUAUAUCCAGGCUUGUUGCGCCACCACCGGCGACGGCCUGUAUGAGGGUU
rnacentral:ribozyme from 1 species